rnacentral:tRNA from 1 species
GGAGAGAUGUCCGAGUGGCUUAAGGAGCACGACUGGAAAUCGUGUGUAGGCUCAAACCCUACCGAGGGUUCAAAUCCCUCUCUCUCCGCCA